CCCGAGGCUAUUUUGCAGAGGCACCGGACACGAUUGUGAUUGGUUUAAAGAAAUGCCAAUAAACCAGAGGAUGUUUUUCAUCCCAUCCCAGAAUUCUGUGUGCACUAGCCACUCUGGCAAUGCG